CACCGGCCAUUUGAUCCAGACAUUUUCCAACUACACAUAACUCCCAUCCACUUCAAGUGAGACAGAAAGCCACUAUGGAAGGAGGCCAGAGCCCUGCUGUUACUCCAACCUACCUAGGAUGGUCCAUCUUUAAUACUUUAUGCUGUUGUGUGCCUCUGGGGAUUGCCGCUGUCUUCUACUCCUGUAGGGCACAAAAUGCUAAUGCUGUUGGAGAAUCAGCGACAGCCAUGGAUGCAUCAAGGACAGCCAAGAUUCUAAAUGUUAUUGGACUUGUCUGUGGAGUGAUUUUAAUCAUCAUUGUCAUCCUUGUAAAAUACCUUCAGUAUUAAUAACAUCAUUAAAGUUACCUGUUUUUGCAGGCAGAGUUGUUAGAAUGUCAGCUAAGCUUUUGUUACGAUAAAAAUGUUCCCCUCCUCCACACGCAGGACCACUAAAUAGAAACAGAUAUCUGUAUGUGUGUGCGCACAAGUCUUUGUCUGUGUUCCUCUUUCAAAUAAGUGCCUAUUAACACAUCCCAGGAAUUCUGUUAUAAUGCACUGCUUGUGAUGGUAAAAGCCAAAAUGUGAUUUGUAUAAGGAAAAAGCUGCUUCUGGUUUACAAUGGAAUGCUUCAAAAAAUAAACACUCCAAAAAGAA